rnacentral:rRNA from 1 species
UACAGGGGGGGCAAGCGUUGUUCGGAAUUACUGGGCGUAAAGGGCCAGUAGGCGGCCAACUAAGUCACACGUGAAAUCCCCGGGCUUAACCCGGGAACUGCGUGUGAUACUGGAUGGCUUGAAUUCGGGAGAGGGAUGCAGAAUUCCAGGUGUAGCGGUGAAAUGCGUAGAUAUCUGGAGGAAUACCGGUGGCGAAGGCGGCAUCCUGGACCGACAUUGACGCUGAACGGCGAAAGCUAGGGGAGCAAACAGG